rnacentral:rRNA from 1 species
AUUGAACGCUGGCGGCGUGCCUAACACAUGCAAGUCGAGCGGUAACAGGCGUAGCAAUACGUGCUGACGAGCGGCGAACGGGUGAGCAAUGCUUCGGAAUCUGCCCCGUAGUGGGGAAUAACCAGCCGAAAGGUUGGCUAAUACCGCAUACGCCCCUUCUUCUCAUCGAGGAAGGGGGAAAGCGGGGGACCGCAAGGCCUCGCGCUAUUGGAUGAGCCGAAGUCGGAUUAGCUAGUUGGUAGGGUAACGGCCUACCAAGGCGACGAUCCGUAGCUGGUCUGAGAGGACGACCAGCCACACUGGGACUGAGACACGGCCCAGACUCCUACGGGAGGCAGCAGUGGGGAAUAUUGGACAAUGGGGGCAACCCUGAUCCAGCGACGCCGCGUGUGUGAAGAAGGCCUGCGGGUUGUAAAGCACUUUUAGUGGGGAUGAAAAGCCCGGGGAUAACACCUCCGGGUCCUGACCUAACCCACAGAAAAAGCACCGGCUAACUCUGUGCCAGCAGCCGAC